GACGCAAGUUCCGUCUCGCCCGAUCCCUCAGGGCCUCGGACGCAAGUUCUGUCUCGCCCGAUCCUUCUGGGCUCGGGCGCCGGAUUCCUAUCCACCAGGACAGCAAGACUUUGACCACACGGCGCCCGUACCCACGACGUGACAAGCGCGAUGACCCCCAUACCGCAGCAGGGCAGGGUGGCAACUGUUCCAACCACCCUGGGCACUGCAGCCUCACCUCUUUCACUGUGUGCCCUUACUUCUUUCACUGUGGCGUACUGCCUCACAGUAGAAAGGGAAUGGGGGAGGUUAAUCAGCACCACUAUUUGAGGUCUUUUCCCACUAUUGACGGGAUGAUCAGCAGUACCGGCGAUCCGACCCUCAUGACUCCUACAGGGCUCGGUAACCCUUCACAAAAGCAGCCAUCCCUCAAGGACAAGAUGAACAGGCUUCAACAGGGUCGGGACUGUAACUCGUCCACCCGGCAGAGAGAAAUCUACUCAUGUAAAUCUCUGUCUCCCCUUGAGGCUAUAAAAGGGGAGCCAGGGCUCAUAGCUAGGAUCAGGUUCCCGCAAUCACAAUACUCUAUCACAGAACAACGACCAACAUUUUGUCCACCACCAAGUCGAGACCUGGGACUUAGCCCUCUCUCGCAACCUGCUUGUACCCCCUACCACAAGCACCUUUAGGUGCAAGGCUAUACAGACCCCCGAUCUCACUGGACGUAGGGCAUUCCAGGCCCGAACCAGUAUAAACCCUCUGUGUCUCACUUGCAUCACCAUCCAGGCUAGGGUAGUCACGCAAACUUAUACUUGCUUGUGUCUAGACCACGAGUCUAGACGUCGACACUCUUGGCAAAGCAUAAGGCCUACUUAUCUCCCAAAUACCCAUCCCCAUAACAGUUUGAUUGCAGCAGAAGUUACUUCCACCAGUUUGUGAUUAGUAAUUGCGCAGAUUCACUUUUAAUGAAGCUGCUGGUCCUGAUUUUGGAAAGGAGGCUUGGGGUGUUUGCUUUCAACAAUUCUGUAGGCUGGUUGAAAUGAAAGGUGUUAUGAGGAGGGUGAUCUCUUUGGACAACAGCUGCCAUGUAAAUGCUGUGGGAUGCAUGAUGGAACAACACAUCAACACCAGAAAAAGGGUUUUGAGGAUGCCAGAUCAUGAGUUUUCUUGUGCCUGAAAAAGGGUUGUAGCAGCAUCAGUUGCUUGUAACCCUGAAAAGUUCAGUGCAUCAUUUCUUUGCAAACCAAAUGAAGCCUACUGCACUUGGAUUUUGGAUCAUGAAAAAUGGGAAGGUGAGUUUCAGUAGUUUUAAUUUGCGAUCAUAGCAUUAUGUUGAAACUCAAUUCCCAAAAUGCUAUCAAAUUUGUGGCAUUGUCAAAAUAGCAUCGGCUAUGCCACACGUCAUUUUGUCAAUGUCAGAACUUUGGAUGGCAUUGUGGCAAUCAGGCCAGCAACAAAACACUAUGAUGGCAUUUUUUUCCUGUGGAUUGGACUUUCUCCUUAAAUCUUGCAUAGUAUUUGGUCAUAUCGGUAUUGGUUCCAUAAGAAAGGACAUAUUGUGAUAUUUUAUGUUUCAACUCUCUUACACCUGAUAUCAUAAAAUAUCUGGGACUUUAUAGCUCGCGAUUCCUGAAUUAUCUCCACCAUGAAUGUAUGAACCUUCACUAGAAGCCUACAGCUUAGUUUCAGAGGCUUGGCCAUGAUGCCUUUCUGUUCCUCUGUGGUUCUUCAAAAGAAAUCUUUCAUUCAACUAAGAUAUCUAACCUGAGUAUUUGAUGCCCAUUGUGACAUGUUUCUUGUUUUAAGAUGUCAAGAUGCUUAUGGUUGAACUAGUCUGUUAGAAAAUGAACGUUAGAUACUUAGAUUCAACUAAUGAAAAUACUCUUCUGCAAGCUUAUUAGAUGAUGAGUAUAUUGAUUCCUUAAUCUAGAUAUUGAUCUACAAAUGAGCACUACCUUCUUAACAUAGCAAGAUCGCCUGAUAGACUACUCUGUAGAGGUAAUAAUUAUUGUGUUAAUUACUCAAGGA